rnacentral:rRNA from 1 species
AGGAAGAGAAAACAAAAGUGAUUUCCAGAGUAGUGGCGAGCGAAAUGGAAAUAGCCCAAACCUGAGUCUUCGGACGAAGGGGUGUGGACAGUCGAUAAAGUGAAACUGUAUCUUAGCAGAAUCGUUUGGGAAAGCGAGCCGAAGAGUGUGAGAGCCACGUACGCGAAAAGAGAAGGAUAACGAGACUGAUCCGGAGUACCACGGAGCACGAGAAACUUUGUGGGAAGCAGGCAGGACCAUCUGCCAAGGCUAAAUACUACCUAGUGACCGAUAGAGAAUAGUACCGUGAGGGAAAGGUGAAAAGAACCCCGAGAGGGGAGUGAAAAGAACCUGAAACCCUAUGUUUACAAGCAAUGGAAGUUCGUUAAAGAACGACCAUGUACUUUUUGUAGAACGGGCCAACGAGUUACGUUAUGCAGCAAGGUUAAGUGCUUAAGGCACGGAGCCGUAGCGAAAGCGAGUCUGAAAAGGGCGA